rnacentral:rRNA from 1 species
UACGGGGGGAGCAAGCGUUGUUCGGAUUUACUGGGCGUAAAGGGUGUGUAGGCGGUUGUUUAAGUUUGGUGUGAAAUCUCCCGGCUCAACCGGGAGGGUGCGCCGAAUACUGAAUGACUUCGAGUGCGGGAGAGGAGAGUGGAAUUCCUGGUGUAGCGGUGAAAUGCGUAGAUAUCAGGAGGAACACCGGUGGUGUAGACGGCUCUCUGGACCGUAACUGACGCUGAGACACGAAAGCGUGGGUAGCAAACAGG